rnacentral:rRNA from 1 species
UACGGAGGGAGCUAGCGUUAUUCGGAAUUACUGGGCGUAAAGCGCACGUAGGCGGCUUUGUAAGUUAGAGGUGAAAGCCUGGAGCUCAACUCCAGAACUGCCCUUAAGACUGCAUCGCUUGAAUCCAGGAGAGGUGAGUGGAAUUCCGAGUGUAGAGGUGAAAUUCGUAGAUAUUCGCAAGAACACCAGUGGCGAAGGCGGCUCACUGGCCCGGUACUGACGCUGAGGUGCGAAAGCGUGGGGAGCAAACAGG